rnacentral:lncRNA from 1 species
GGCACUUGCAUCUAUCUUUCUAUUCCCAUGCGGCGCUGGAGAGGGAGUUGAGGAAGGGAACCGGCAGGAGCUGGGAUUGGCAAGCUGGCCAAGGGUCAAGUGCCCAUAAAAUCUGCAAAGCUCUUAAAAAGCCCGUCCCACUGCCAGGUCAGCGCGGAGUCGGGUGUCUGGACCGAGGGUGUUGGUUGCACGGUCCCUCGCCUGCCAAGAAAGAUCUCCGGGUCGCCACCUUCUCCUCCUCUUUACCACCUACCACUUCCUUCCCGCCCCCUCGGACCCCCAGCCCCCGGUCCCCUAACCCGGGGCUGUUGUAGAUAACACUUCCUCCUUAUUGGCGCCUGGGGACUGGGGGAUUUAAAUGCUUUCUGAAAAAGAGCCUGGUAAAUACCUUCGCUUCUCUAUCCAGGCAGAAAGAGACAGGGACGGAGAGAGAGCGGGGAGAGGAAGGGGUGGGGGGGGGGAGAGUAUGAGAAUAUAAGACAGCACACUGAGAGAGGGGAGAGACCGAGAGACAGAGACCUCCUCCUCCCGUUGUAGACUUCGAGAGGAGUUGAUGCGCUGCGCGUAUUUCGAGCUUCUGGGGGGAAAUGAUAGCUGGGGAGUGAGUUUUUAAAACAUCUUUGUGUACACGCAUAGAGAGAGGAUGUUUGGAAUUCCGCUUUGGAAGUCGAGGAAGGGUUAGUGACAGCUUAACUGCAGCGUCCAGCGAAUGUACAGAUUGUUCCAGCCCCCAGGACGUACCUUCCCCUAAUCCCACCUCCUAGGGCUCUAAACCCAACUAACUACCCGAGACUGGCCCGGGGGCGGAGAGGGGGUGGAUUGCAAAGGACACUCAAGGGGAGAGGCUGGAAACUGUCACCGCGCGGCUCCUCCUCUUUUACGGAUUCAAUACACACAAACUCCUCCUAGCCGGAGGAGGGGGAGAGCAGAGCCAGCUCAUUAUUCUGGAGAAAGGGAGAGUGAAGGAGUUAGGAAGCCGGACUUGCCCCGCGGCGAGGGGAGGAGAAAAGAAAAGGGAGAAAUGCGGGGUGGGGGUAGAAAGAACGAGCGAAAGGAGAAUGAAAGAAGGAAAGAGAGAAAAUGAAAUGGAGUUGUCGAUCCCAAGCAAGCACACACUGAGAUGGUUUGUCGCACUCGAAAGAACACAGCCAAAUCUGGGCACCCUUCCAACAUACCACACCUAUCAAUGAAUUAUUACUGACACAUCGGGGAGCGGGGAAGAAGAUGCUUCAGAAGGUCGAACUCAAAGGGAUCAUUCUUAAAUUCACUUAUCUCUCUCUUUCCAUCCUCUAAUUGAGGUUACACCAUUCUAGAUUUUCACCUUCAGGGAUAGAAAAGUGCAUUUGGUAGGAUUCUUUUCUUUGUUCCUACACUUGAUGUUGCAUGUGUACACAGAGACCCUGAUAUGUGGCUACAAUUCAAAAAUCCAAGAAAUGAAUAAAAAUGUAGUAGC